CCUACGGGAGGCUGCAGUCGAGAAUCAUUCACAAUGGGGGAAACCCUGAUGGUGCGACGCCGCGUGGGGGAAUGAAGGUCUUCGGAUUGUAAACCCCUGUCGUGUGGGAGCAAAUUAAAAAGAUAGUACCACAAGAGGAAGAGGCGGCUAACUCUGUGCCAGCCGCCGCGGUACUACAGAGGUCUCAAGCGUUGUUCGGAAUCACUGGGUGUAAAGCGUGCGUAGGCUGUUUCGUAAGUCGGGUGUGAAAGGCGCGGGCUCAACCCGCGGACGGCACAUGAUACUGCGAGACUAGAGUAAUGGAGGGGGAAGUGGAAUUCUAGGUGUAGCAGUGAAAUGCGUAGAUAUCGAGAGGAACACUCGUGGCGAAGGCGGGUUCCUGGACAUUAACUGACGCUGAGGCACGAAGGCCAGGGGAGCGAAAGGGAUUAGAUACCCCUGUAGUC
rnacentral:rRNA from 1 species